AGGAGAACUCUCUUUAGAGGUUGAAGACGAAGAGAAGAUGACAGGAUCCCAAGACCCCAACCUGCCGCAACUGAAGCAAAGGCUCCAGCACCAAAGUUUGACUUACUUGCUACAAAUUUCCCUCCUCUACCCGGAAGCUCAUCAAGAAUGCCAGAUGAACUCGCUUUGGAGAAGAGAAUGUCUGAUGUUGUUAAAAGUGUCUGCAAAGAAAAGGACAAUGAGGACUUGAGAGUUAGUUGUCCGGUGCCUGCAGAAGACGGACAGACAGACUGCGCUUCUGUGCCACAACUCAGCAUAAGUCCUAGUCCUCCAUGUACAGCUGAGCCUCCUGCAUUAAGCAGCACAACUCAGAAGGAGAAGGAUCAAAUGGAGGAUUCCGCUGCUCCAAAAGAUGUUCUCAAUCCAGUGCCAGUGCCAGUGCCAGUGUCUUCUCCAACUACUACAAAGCCAUCAAGGGCAAACACUGCUUCACCUUGCAAUAGUACCGUAAAUACACCUAUAGCUGUGGCCCCACAGGAACCUCGAAAGUUAAGCUAUGCUGAAGUGUGCCAGAAGCCUCCUAAGGAGCGGUCUCCGGUUCUUGUCCAGCCACUGAGGGAGCUUCGGUCCAAUGUAGAGUCUCCCACCAGAAACGAAGAGAACGGAGCUCCUGAGAAGCCUGUUGAGAAGCCACAGGAAAAACCGGAAACAAGGGCUAGUAAGGAUCAUUUCUGGCUUCCGAGGCAACACCAUUCCCCGAGGAGCAGCUGGAAAAAUCAGGGAACAGAGACGCCAGUUCAGCCAUAGGGCUGCACCUCAGGGAGUGACUCGACAGAAUGGGAAGGAGCAGUAAGUGCCACCCAGAUCACCAAAGUAAAAACAGCUCUAACAAAA
rnacentral:lncRNA from 1 species